AGUCCUCUUACUUGAGGAAUAGUUACUGUUAUCUUAAGAUCACGGAUAUAAUGGGUUAUAUCUGUUUGGCUGCAUAAAAGGGUGAGAUCUCUUUCUGUCUCAGCAAUCUCUUUAGCAUUGUGAUGGGUAUCACAUUCUGGUUCAGUGCUUAUUAAAUAAUAAAACUGUUUUCUCUCUUUCCUGUGUUUUGUGGAGAGGCCUUUCUGAGUUGGCAGGAGAUUUUGUUUUUCAUUAACUACCACCACAGAUUUGGAAAUGAGGAUAAGACUUCUGGAAGUUCCUAAAUUGAGUGAAUGUGCAGAAGUUCUGUGGACCCACAAGACUCAAGAAACCGCUUGCUUCAAAGAUCCAUCCUCCAUAUCACUUAGAGCGAUGGACUGAAAGUAUUAGGAAGCCAUGAGUCAGUGAUCUUUCAAGCAGAACAAAUUUCCAGAGAAACACCUACUCAAUGCAGGCAAUAUCCUGUUUGAGAUCCUAAAAUAAGGGGGAAGAGUUCCCAAGUUUCUUUUGAAAUUACCGGUCUCCUACUCUUAAACCCGACCCACAGCAAUGAGAGUUCUGGCCCAAGAUGGCAACACAGAAAGACUCUGAACUCACCUUCUCCUUGGAGACACCUAAUCUACACCUACUUAUAGAACGUUUCCUUCCUAGGCAGAACUAAGAGUUGACUGAACAUCUUCUGCAUAACAAAAGACCACAAAGAGAAUGGCAAGAGAGAAGAAGAGAGGCAGUCUAUUGUUUGUGUGCUGAGAGGGACACUGUAGUGUUGGUGGGGAGGGAAGGGGAGGGAAAACACGAAACUAUAGUAUAAUGUAGUAUGUCUGUGUGGAGAAGGGAAGGGAGACCGUAACGUUUGUGCAUAGAGAAGGGAAGGCAGGAGAUGCAGUACGUGUGGCGGCGGAGGGUGGUAAAGAAAGUUCGUGUAUAGGAUGUAUGUUGGGGGCAAUAAGCGACAGUAUAAUGUGUGUAUACGUGGAAAGAAGGGCCAGGAGCAGACAAUGUAGUGUGUAAGUGUGGAGGGGGAAAGAGAAGGGAUAGUGGAGUGGGGGGGAGCAGAGAAAGAAGGAAAGGGAUACUGUGGUGUCUUGUGUGUAUAUAGGAAAGGAGAGAAGUGACUAAAUAGGGUAGUGUGUGGUUUGGGGAAGGAACAGUGUAUGUAUGUGUGGUUAAGGAAAAGGGAACAGAAUGGAUGGGGGAGCGUGUGUAUGUGUCUGUAGGAAAGGGAUAGCAUAGUGGUACGUGUGUGAAGAAGGGGAAUCGCAGGGAAGGGACAAUGUAAAUGUGUGUGCAAAGGAAAGGAGGGGCGUGGAAUGCACAAUUUAGUGGGGGGGGUAGGGAUACUGCAGUUUGGGUGAGGGAAAAUGGAAAAAGUACAGUGUAGUGUGUGUGCAGAGAAGGGAAGGAGUAGUGGGGAGUGUGUGUUGUGCGGAAGAAGGGAGGAAAGGAAAGCUAGAGUAUAGUGUCUGUGUAGAAAACAGAAGGUGACACACGAGAGGGAAGGAAUAGCACAGUCUCGUGUAUGUGGGGAAGGGAAAAAUGGGAAGAGAGAGUAGUUCGUGUGGAGAAGAGAAGGGAAGGGAGAAGAACAGCGUAGUGUGUAUGUGUGGGUGGAUGUGGAGAAAAGGUGGGAAGGGAAGACAAGUUAGAAUAUGUGUGUAGGAAAAAAGGAACAUAAAGACAGCGAACGGAGGGGAUAAUGUAGUGCGUGGAGGUGGGAACGGAUAGUGUAGUGCCUGACUGUGGAAAGGAAGGGACUGGGUAGUGUGCGGGGGAGAAGGAGGGAGGAGUAAAACACGUACAUGGAGGAUAGUGUGGUGUGGGGAGGGGAGGGGAAGGGAGAGAACAGAGUAGUGUGGGUGAGAGGGAAUGGAAGGGGAAACGGGAAAGGACAGUGCCCUUGUGUGUUAGGAUGAGGGGUGGGAGGAAGGGGAACAUAGUGUAGGGUGUGCAUGUUGAAUGGAAGGGAAGGAGACAGGAA